rnacentral:rRNA from 1 species
GGCGACCGGCGCACGGGUGAGUAACACGUAUGCAAUCCACCUGUAACAGGGGGAUAACCCGGAGAAAUCCGGACUAAUACCCCAUAAUAUGGGCGCUCCGCAUGGAGAGCCCAUUAAAGAGAGCAAUUUUGGUUACAGACGAGCAUGCGCUCCAUUAGCCAGUUGGCGGGGUAACGGCCCACCAAAGCGACGAUGGAUAGGGGUUCUGAGAGGAAGGUCCCCCACAUUGGAACUGAGACACGGUCCAAACUCCUACGGGAGGCAGCAGUGAGGAAUAUUGGUCAAUGGUCGGCAGACUGAACCAGCCAAGUCGCGUGAGGGAAGACGGCCCUACGGGUUGUAAACCUCUUUUGUCGGAGAGUAAAGUACGCUACGUGUAGUGUAUUGCAAGUAUCCGAAGAAAAAGCAUCGGCUAACUCCGUGCCAGCAGCCGCGGUAAUACGGAGGAUGCAAGCGUUAUCCGGAUUUAUUGGGUUUAAAGGGUGCGUAGGCGGCACGCCAAGUCAGCGGUGAAAUUUCCGGGCUCAACCCGGAGUGUGCCGUUGAAACUGGCGAGCUAGAGUACACAAGAGGCAGGCGGAAUGCGUGGUGUAGCGGUGAAAUGCAUAGAUAUCACGCAGAACCCCGAUUGCGAAGGCAGCCUGCUAGGGUGAAACAGACGC